rnacentral:rRNA from 1 species
UACGGGGGGAGCAAGCGUUGUUCGGAUUUACUGGGCGUAAAGGGCGCGUAGGCGGCGUGACAAGUCACUUGUGAAAUCUCCGGGCUUAACCCGGAGCGGCCAAGUGAUACUGUCGUGCUAGAGUGCGGAAGGGGCUACUGGAAUUCUCGGUGUAGCGGUGAAAUGCGUAGAUAUCGAGAGGAACGCCUGCGGCGAAGGCGGGUAGCUGGGCCGACACUGACGCUGAGGCGCGAAAGCCAGGGGAGCGAACGGG